rnacentral:rRNA from 1 species
UGGCGACCGGCGCACGGGUGAGUAACGCGUAUGCAACCUACCUAUCAGAGGGGAAUAACCCGGCGAAAGUCGGACUAAUACCGCAUAAACAGGGGCACCGCAUGGUGAUAUUUGUUAAAGAAAUUCGCUGAUAGAUGGGCAUGCGUUCCAUUAGGUAGUUGGUGAGGUAACGGCUCACCAAGCCGACGAUGGAUAGGGAACUGAGAGGUUGGUCCCCCACACUGGUACUGAGACACGGACCAGACUCCUACGGGAGGCAGCAGUGAGGAAUAUUGGUCAAUGGGCGAGAGCCUGAACCAGCCAAGUCGCCGUGAAGGAAGAAGGAUCUAUGGUUCGUAAACUUCUUUUGCAGGGGAAUAAAGUGCGGGACGUGUCCUGUUUUGUAUGUACCCUGAGAAUAAGGAUCGGCUAACUCCGUGCCAGCCGCCGC